CCGUGAUGCCGCCCCCCAUCACGAUGCCGCCCCGGGCAACCGCCCGUGUCGCCCGUAUCUAAAACCGCUACUGAUGAGAUCCAAAUAUAUGCCAAUGUCAACACAUGUUCAUGUUGAUGAGGUUUACUGAACAAAUUUGAAUCAUCACAGCAACCAAAAUGUUAGCAACACAUUAUAAAGUUUAUUAUUAUCACUAUGGUAACCAUGUUUAUGUUUGUUACCUGCUAACUCAAACACAUUCUGUAGGUGUCACAUUUUGAGGACUGUAAGUUCACACACUUUCAGACUUUUGCAAACCGGAGUUGGAGAUUGCAGAGAGAAGGCGAAGUGUUUUGUAAAACCUUUACAAGUUCUACGGAUUAUUUGCUCAAACAACAAAAGUGCAAACAUGUUUUGCUGGACUCUAAGAAGAAGAAAGGCACAGCCUGAUUUGUCAUGUUUUUUUAAUAUUUAAAAAAAAUGCUGUUUUUGUGCAGCAGUUCUUAUUAAAUCACAUGCUGUUUGAUUUAUUUGAAACAGAUAAUAAAGGAGGAUACUGUGGGUGUUGGAGAGGACCCACUGAAAAAUGUGAGUGCACGAAGGGAUCUCACAGAUGAACAUGUGGCCCCUGACACUCCAGCCACCUCUUCUGCACCAGUCUCACCUCCAGCUGAGGCUCAGACGAACAAAUCAAAGAAGGCUUCCUGGUGGCGCAGAUGGCUUUUUUGUGAGAAAAAGUCAAAGGUUUUUCCCAAAAAUGAAGACAAGGCAGAAGACACGGUCGUGCCACCUUCUGAACCCCAACAGAGUACCAUCAGCACUGAAAAAUGUGAAGUCAAGGACGUUGGUGUCCAGACAGAGGUUUCCUGCCCUCCCAACUCGCUGCUGUUUUUCUGCACGAAAAAGGUGACCUUAGAUGAUGAGCCGCGUUGUCCUGAAGUCAAUGAGAGAGAUGAACCAGUUUCCAGGCCGUGUACCCCACCAGGUCACGGUGGUAGCCAGGGAGCCAUGCUAAGAGACCACGUCACACACUGCUGACUAACAUACGAUGAUGAGUUCGUCAAUGAUGAGCAGUGGCAGAGAACAGCUUACCUGCUGUUCUAUGAAAAACAGAUAAUAAAGGAGGAUACUGUGGGUGUUGGAGAGGACCCACUGAAAAAUGUGAGUGCACGAAAGGAUCUCACAGAUGAACAUGUGGCCCCUGACACUCCAGCCACCUCUUCUGCACCAGUCUCACCUCCAGCUGAGGCUCAGACGAACAAAUCAAAGAAGGCUUCCUGGUGGCGCAGAUGGCUUUUUUGUGAGAAAAAGUCAAAGGUUUUUCCCAAAAAUGAAGACAAGGCAGAAGACACGGUCGUGCCACCUUCUGAACCCCAACAGAGUACCAUCAGCACUGAAAAAUGUGAAGUCAAGGACGUUGGUGUCCAGACAGAGGUUUCCUGCCCUCCCAACUCGCUGCUGUUUUUCUGCACGAAAAAGGUGACCUUAGAUGAUGAGCCGCGUUGUCCUGAAGUCAAUGAGAGAGAUGAACCAGUUUCCAGGCCGUGUACCCCAGCAGGUCACGGUGGUAGCCAGGGAGCCAUGCUAAGAGACCACGUCACACACUGCUGACUAACAUACGAUGAUGAGUUCGUCAAUGAUGAGCAGCGGCAGAGAACAGCUUACCUGCUGUUCUAUGAAAAACAGAUAAUAAAGGAGGAUACUGUGGGUGUUGGAGAGGACCCACUGAAAAAUGUGAGUGCACGAAAGGAUCUCACAGAUGAACAUGUGGCCCCUGACACUCCAGCCACCUCUUCUGCACCAGUCUCACCUCCAGCUGAGGCUCAGACGAACAAAUCAAAGAAGGCUUCCUGGUGGCGCAGAUGGCUUUUUUGUGAG